AUACGUAGGUGGCAAGCGUUGUCCGGAAUUAUUGGGCGUAAAGCGCGCGCAGGCGGUCCUUUAAGUCUGAUGUGAAGGCCCACGGCUCAACCGUGGAGGGUCAUUGGAAACUGGGGGACUUGAGUGCAGAAGAGGAAAGUGGAAUUCCAAGUGUAGCGGUGAAAUGCGUAGAGAUUUGGAGGAACACCAGUGGCGAAGGCGACUUUCUGGUCUGUAACUGACGCUGAGGCGCGAAAGCGUGGGGAGCAAACAGAAUUAGAUACCCUGGUAGUCCACGCCGUAAACGAUGAGUGCUAAGUGUUAGGGGGUUUCCGCCCCUUAGUGCUGCAGCUAACGCAUUAAGCACUCCGCCUGGGGAGUACGGUCGCAAGACUGAAACUCAAAUGAAUUGACGGGG
rnacentral:rRNA from 1 species